rnacentral:RNase_P_RNA from 1 species
UGGGAAGCGAGUGUGGACCGCGGCCGCCCGUUGCGGCGGUCGAGGAAAGUCCGAGCUCCAAAGGGCAGGGUGCCGGGUAACGCCCGGGCGUCGUGAGACGACGGAAAGUGCCACAGAGAACAGACCGCCGAUGGCCCCUCCAGGGGCACAGGCAAGGGUGAAACGGUGGGGUAAGAGCCCACCGCGCUCCCGGUAACGGGGGCGGCACGGUAAACCCCACCCGGAGCAAGGCCAAGCAGGGACGAUGGCGUGACCCGCGCCGCGACGGCCACCAGGCCGUGGGAGUCCCGGGUAGGCUGCUGGAGGCGGCAGGCGACUGCCGUCCUAGAGAAAUGGUCCACCUCCCCUUGCCGCCCUUCGGGGUAGCAGAGGAGACAGAACUCGGCUUAUUCCGCUUCCCGUCCG